UCUCGUUUAGAAAUCAAACAAACAAAUCUAAAUUUUUUUUCAGAUUUUCUUAAAGAUAAAUAAAUAAAAAAAAAUGCUAUUUCGAAAAACUGUGAUAACCAAAAAAAUUGAAUUCAAAAAAGUCGUAUACAACAUCUGAAAAAAAUUUGUAGAUCGAAUUUUUGGGUUGCAAAAACAAAAAGAAAAUAUAUAAAAACAAAUCAGGAAAAAAAAAGGGGCAUACCUCGUUUGAGAGAGAGGGGCGAUGCGGAGCGCACGGGGUGUGGGCCUUUCCAUACAGAGGGAAAAGAGUGACCGCAGGGAGUGCAGGCGGGGGGUGCGGCAAGGUUCAGAGGUGAGCAAUAAGGAGUGUGAGAGAAGGGGAGAUAAAGAGAAAGAGAAAACACGAAAGAGAAAGAGAGUAAGAUGGGGAGAGAUAGGAGAGAGCGCACGAAGAGAGAGAGCGCACGACUUAACGGAUGUUUUUUUAUUAAUCCUCCUUUAAGUCACAGCACGGAUCUCAAAGUGAUCCAAUGGUAAAAAGCUCACUAGCACGAGUCAGGCUAUGCUAGUAAUAGCACACCAGCCUGACUCUAUAGAGCUAGGCUGGUAUACUAUCAGUAGCACGAAGGCCUCCGUGCUACCAAGUUGUUUUCAAUGAUGUAGCUUCCAAAUUGACAAUCAGCUCCGUUAAAUUUGAUCUACACUAUUGAAAGUAUUUGAAAAUUAAAUUUCAUAAUUUUUCGACAUCAUUUACCUAUCAAACAAGUGGUCUAAAAAUGAACUGCUGAAAAUAAAAUUUAAGCUCAGAAGUACUGAUCUUACUCUAAAUAGUGAAAAAAAUUUUCUAUAAAAAUUUCAUCAGAUUUGAAUGGUUUUACACCGUUAAAUUCACAAACUCAUCACAUCAACUAUUAAAAUUGUCAAUUUUGAGACCUUUUGAUCACUAACCAAAUGAUUGCAAAAAAUUAUAAAAUUUAGUUUCCAAAUACUUUUAAUAGUGUAGAUCAAGUCUAACGGAGCCGAUCGUCGAUUUGGAAGCCGCAUCAUUGAAAACAACUUGGUAGCACGCGUGCUACCGAUAGUAUACCCCUCUCUCUCUCUUUCUCUCUAUAUAUAUAUACGGAAUUAUUGGUGCUAUUAGUUUUUUAGCCCUUGGAUUGAGAAAUGUGCGGUUAGGAUGAUGUGGGCCCCCCUAGGGUUGAGUGAGUGGUUGGUUGAAUAGUAUAAUCUAAUGGGUAAAAAUAAUUAAAGGGGUUAAUCUAACGGCAGAAAACUUGAUAGCACCAAGUGUUUGGUGCUAUCGAUAGCAUAGCAGCCGGACUCUAUCUAUAUAUAUAUUUAUAUAUAUAUAUAUAUAUAUAUGGAAUUGAGCUCUUAUGCUUUUAAAAGCACCUAGUUAUUAGUGCUUGUAGGUUUUCGGCCCUUGGAUUAAGAGAUGUGCGGUUAGGAUAAUAGUGAUCUCCUAUGAUUGAGUGGGUGGUUGGUUGAAUAGUAUGAUCUAACAGGUGGAUACGAUCAGAGAAGCAGAUCUAACGGCGGAAAACUUACAAGCACCAAGUGCUUGGUACUUUUAAAAGUACCAUAGCUAGGCUAUAUAUAUAUAUAUAUAUAUAUAGAGAGAGAGAGAGAGAGAGAGAGAGAGAGAGAGAGCUAGGCUUGUGUGUAGAGAAAAAGAGAGGUUAGAAUACUUUUAAUACCAAGGAGCCCUUCGUGUCACUAAGUUGUUUUCGAUGCUGGGAUAUCUGAAUUGAUGAUCGACUCCGCUGGACAUGAUCUACGAUGUUGGAACUAUAUAAAAAUGAAUUCAUAAUUUUAUGACAUCAUUUAUCAAUCAAACAAGGAGUCUCGAAAUGAACUCAUAAACAACUAUGGAAAGGUCUCAAAAUUGACAAAUAUAAGUAUGAUAUGAUGCAUUUAUAAGUUUAACAAUGUAGAACAAUCCAAAUCCAAUGAAAUUUUGAUAGCAAAUUCUUUUCACUAUUUAGCAAGAUCAAUACUUCUGACCUAAAAUUUAAGUCUUUCAUCAUUUCUUUUUAUGAGAUUUUUAUUUUCAGCAGUUCAUUUCAAGACUACUGGUGUGAUAGGUAAAUGAUGUCGAAAAAUUAUGAAAUUCGGUUUGUAGAUAGUUCCAAUAGCGUAGAUUAUGUCUAAUAGAGCCAAUCGUUAAUUCCGAAGUCCCAUGAUCAAAAACAACUUGGUAGCAAAGAGGGUUUCAUGCUAUUAAUUGUAAUACAUACUACAUACAUAUAUACCUACGUAUACAACUAUAUAUAUAUAUAUAUAUAUAUAGAGAGAGAGAGAGAGAGAGAGAAGGGGAGAGCUAAGCUCCUAUGCUUUCGAAAGUACGGAGGCCUCCGUGCUUGUAAGUUGUUUUUGAUGAUGGGGCAUCCGAUUCGGUGAUCGGCUCCGUUAGACAUGAUCUACGGUAUUGUAACUAAUUAAAAACCAAAUUUCAUAACUUUUUUACUUUAUUUGCCUAGUAAAUGAGUAGGCUUAAAAUGAACGACUAAAAAUAAAAAUCUCACAAAAAAUAGCAAUAAAAGAUUCAAAUUUCAAAUCGAAAGUAUUAUUCUUGCUCUUGAUGUUAAGUACAAUUUUCUAUUAAAGUUUCAUGUAAUUUGGAUUCUUCUACUGCGUUGAACUUUCAAACGUGUUACAUCAGCCGUUAAAAUAGUCAUUUUGAGACUCUUUGAUCACUUAGUAAAUGAUGUCGAAAAAUUAUAAAUUUGAUUUCUAAAUAUUUUUAAUAGCAAAAUUAUGCCUAACAGAGCCAAUCACUAAAUCGGAUGCUCCAUCAUCAAAAACAACUUACAAGUACGGAGGCCUCCGUACUUUUUAAGUAUAGGAGACGUACUAUAUAUAUAUAUAUAUAUAUAUAUAUAUAUAUAUAAUAGUAAAAUAUAAAUAUAGAACUAGGCUGAAUAUAUUAAUACAAAAGCCUAUGUGUAUAGUUUUUUAGCCUUUGAAACUGAGAAAUGUAAAGUUACGGAAUGAUGUUGACCCCUAGGUUGAUGAGGCUGUUGAAUAGUAUCAUCUAACGGUAAAAAUAAUGAAAGGGUAAAUCAACUGUGGAAACUCGAUAGCACCAAGCCCUUGGUCCAUCGAUAUAACCAACGACUAUCUAUAUAUUUAUAUAUCAUAGAGAGGAAGAGAGAACAGAGCUGUUCCAGCUAUGGCUUGUAAACACCCACACUUGUGCUUUAAAUUUUUAACCGGUUAAUCUAUCUGCAUCAUGUUAUCCGUAAUUAUACUAAUCCAACAACACCGCCCAGGAGCCAAUUAGAAUAUAUAUAAUAAUAUAUAUCCUAUAUAAUAUAUAUAAAAUAUAUAUAAUUGUACAUAGUAUAAGGCUGGCAAAUAAGAGCCGGCUCGCGUUCGACUCGAUAUUUUGCUCGCUCAGCUCGACUCGAAUUAAAUAGUCCGACUGAACAAAAAAAAGCUCGAAAUUCAUUCAACCGAGCUUAUAUACUCGCUCAUCGAAUUAGCGCUCGAAAACAGCUGAAAACAUCGAAAAUCAUAUAUAUAAAUUAUAUACGAUGAGGCACUAUCUAUCGAAGCAGGUGGGGGGGGACCCCUGCUCCACUUGUUUUGAUUGCAUUUCGAAUCGUAGAUACGGUCACGCUCCGUUAAACUUGAUUUAGAGUUAUUUUGAGAUACCUAGAAAAUAAAUUUUAUUAUUUUUCGAUAUCAUUUGCCUAGUGAUCGAAUAGCCCAAAAUAACACAUUCAAUGGUCCCUAGUGACCGUUUCAAGUUAACGUGUAGAAUACCAAAAUCACGUGAAAUUUGAUAGGAAAAAUCUUAUACUAUAUAAAACUCAAGUCACAUAAUCUUUUAUUAAAAUUUUAAUAUAUUAUUCACAUUUUAAGAUUUUUAUUUUCACCGUUGAUAUUUGAGCCCUUCCUUCCUAGACAAUGAAUGUAAAAUCUAUAAAAUAUUUUUCUAGGUACUUCAAUACUCUAGAUCAGUUUAACGAGCGAUCACAUUGAAAUGAAACACUCGAAAACGACUGGAAGCACAAGGCUCCGCUCCGCUAGAUAGUAGCCUCACUCAUAAUAUAUAAUAUAAUCAAUUAAGAGCUACUAUGCUAGCGAAGAUAGAGGAUGUGCUUUCGUUCUGAUUCUAAUCAAAUCCCUUUAAAUCAUUUUUAUCUUGAUUAAUACAUAUACAUAUGUAGGACCACUCAAUCAUAGGGAUAUUAUUAAUCCUAGGAAACCGCAAUCAUCCACCAUACCAAUCUUAAUCAAAUGGUCAAAAAAUUCAAAACAAUCAAAUCCUCAUAAUUUCGAUACGCAUAGUAUUCUCACAUACUCUAAAUAUAAUAAAGUAUACUUAGAUUCCGCACUAUACCUAUCCGAUAGUACCGACAGCCCUUGACUAUUGAGUUAUCUAAACGUCAAUCUACCCUUUUUAUCAUUUCCACCAUUAAAUAUACUAUUAACCAACCACCCACUCAACCCUAGGGGACACUACAAUUUUAAACCGGGAUCACACAUCUAACCGCAUCAUUCUUUUCAUCCAACUGUCCGAAAUCAAUAUAACCAAGGGCUUGGAACAUGAUAUAUAUACAUAGUUCAAUAUAUAUAUAUAUAUAUAUAUUAAAAAUAUAUAAAUAUAAUAUAUUUUAAUUAUAUAUAGGCUGAGUGAAUAAUCUCAGUUUAGUUAAAAUUGAGCCAAUGUUGUUGACCCAUUAAAACAAAUCCAAUAGACAAAUAAAAGAGCAAAAUUUCACUAAAUUUAUACAUUUUUCUUUUCUUUCUUUCUUUCACAAAGCUCUAAAUUUUCAAUAUGUUUCUCUCUUUCUCUUUUUCUGUCUCUCACCCUAAGUGGCCAAGCUGGAAGCCCUCCAAGUUACCAACUAACAGCAUAUGCCCGCCGUUUGACUACCUUACUAUUAAUUGUGUGCUUGAAAAAAUAUACAUAAUAUUUUAAAAUAAAAAAUUAUUAUUCAUAUAAAAUUUUAAUUUUAGUUAUAUAUGAUUGGAUAGUUUAAUCCAAUAUUUAUCUAUAUAAUUUAUUUAUUUUUGACUGCAUAAAUGGAAAUGAAAAAUAUGGAGAUUGAAGGCGGAAAAAAAGACAUGUGAGGCUGAAAAGAUUAGAUAUUUAACUCAUAAAUUAUUUUUUCAUAUUAUAAUACUAUAUUUUAUAUAAUUAUUUUGUACUUUGAGCUAUUAGAUAUAUUUUUGUAUCAAAUUAUAGAUAAUGUUCUAUACAAAUUAAACUAUUGAUCGUAUGAUGUUGAGAAUUUCAAGCGGCUCGUUUAGGGCUCGAGCUCGCUCGACUCGAAAUUAGGCUCGCUCGAGCUCGGCUCGAAUUAAUUUCAAUCCAAGCUUGAGCUUAAAUUUAGGCUCGAAAUUAAUUUCAAGCCGAAUUUGAGCCGAGGUAAGCUCGCUCGAGCUCGGCUCGUUUCCACCCCUACAUAUGUACAUGUAUACAUGUAUACAUAUGUAUACAUAUGUACAUAUGUAUACAUGUAUACAUGUACAUAUGUACAUGUAUACAUGUAUAUACAUAUGUACAUGUAUAAAUGUACAUAUAUGUACAUAUAUGUACAUAUAUGUACAUAUAGAGUGAGGCUACUAUGCUUCUGGAAGCACGGAGCCUUCCGUGCUUCCAGGUCAUUUUCGAUGUUGCGACUUUCGAAUCAUCGAUCGGCUCCGUUAAACUUGAUUUAGAGUAUUUGGAGUACCUAGAAAAUAAAUUUUAUUAUUUUUCAAUAUCAUUUACCUAGUGAUCGAAUGGGCUCAAAAUUAACAAAUUUCAAUGGCCGUAGUGAGCCGUUUGCAAGUUUAACGGUGUAGAAAUAUCCAAAUCACGUGAAAUUUUGAUAGAAAAUUCUUUAUACUAUAUAAAACAAGAUCAAUAUCUUUGAUCUAAAAUUUUAAUGUCAUAUUAUCACGUUUUGUAAGAUUUUUAUUUUCAGCCGUUGAUUUUGAGCCCCUUAGUUCACUAGGCAAAUGAUAUCGAAAAAUUGCAAAAUUUAUUUUCUAGGUACUUCAAAUACUCUAGAUCAAGUUUAACGGAGCCGAUCGACGAUUCGAAAGUCGCAACAUCGAAAACGAGCUGGAAGCACGGAAGGCUCCGUGCUUCCGAUAGCAUAGUAGCCUCACUAUAUAUAUAUAUAUAUAUAUAUAUAUAUAUAUGUAAUAUACCGAAUCCCUAGUGCGUUGUACCGAACUUUGACCAAAUUGGCCAAAGUGUGGUGAGGGGAUAGUUUGGAGAGGUCCGUGUAACGUUCUGGAGGUUUUGGAGCAAUUAAAAGAGAGUUUGGGACCCAGGAGAGCAAAACCUGAUAUUUCAAUGCAUUUGGGCUAUUUUUGCUCUCGGGUUCUGGACCCUAGCUGCGAGAAAACAAAAAAAAAAUUGUGGGUUGAGUUGAAAUGUCAUGAAUGAAAGGGAUUAAGUUGUAAUUGUUUGGGGAGGGCUUAAGAAUAAGCUCUAACUCUCUCUUUCUCUCAUUCUCUCCCACACAACAAAAGAGAAAACCCUUUCUCUUUCUCUCUAACCCUCUCCCUCAAUCUCUAGCUUCUCUCUCUCCCUAGUAUCUCUCCAACAAGUGAAGUUUGGAGGAGAAAAAGCUUGCUUAGGGGUGAAGCAAGCUCUUGUGCAAGGAAACUUGUGCAGGCAAGGUGCCAAAGGUGAGGUUUUGAGAUUUUAAGCUAGGGUUUUUAUGUAAAUCCUUCGAAAACGAGAUAUUUGGAACCCCUACAUGAUUCUAACUUAGAUAUUGUAUGAAUCACAAGGAUUUUGGGGUUAUUUUGAGAAAAAUGGGUUUCUAGGGUUUCCAAAAGGGGCUUUUGGAUUUGUAGGAUUUUGAUCUAAAUUGAUCCAGCAAUUCUUUAAUUGAAGGCUGUAGAAGAACGCCAAGUAACUUCGAUUCGAAGAGUAGCGAUGUUUCGAUGGUCGAUUGAGGAAAUCGAGCCGAAAUCAAGGGAUUUCAUUUGUUUGUGCCAAAAAGUGCUGAAUCGGCAUCGGAAGCUAAAUUGCUCAGAUCUCCUUGCAAUUGGCAUCGAAUCGAGGUGGCUAGUACUAUCCGGAACAGUUGAAUUUCUAUGUCUAUGUAGCCAUUUUGGUCAUAAAUGUAUACUUGUGAAACUCUAUGCAUUUAGCGUUAAUAUGAUGUUUGAGCUUUCAAUUUCCUUGCAUGCUUCCUAAAGUAAGGUUGGACAAGUUGUAUUGAGAACUCGGUACUUGGACGCAUGAGGAUUGAGUCGUUGGACAUUUGGAACCCUAUGAAAUGCAAAGAACUAGACUGUGAACUUAGAAAACAUUGGAACAUUGGUGACAUAAACUUGUGACAUCUCAUGACUAGUUGUGUUUGGCAGCACUUUGUUGAGUUAGUUGCUAGAGAUUGGUAGAUCCCCGUAUGUUGUUACUUUUGUUACCCUGGUUUGUAGGGUGUCAUCAAGAUGAGAGGACUGGACCGUACUUACACAUAGUCUGUCUGGCUUGUUGGUGGUCGUGACACCACAAGCAGUGAACUCCGGAGUUGUCACACAUGGGUUGAGCGAUUAUCUCCCCACAGACUGCCCUAGAUUGGUUGAGCGGCUAUCUCUCCGUGGGCCUUGGUAUGUGAGUGGGCUCGACCUUCAGGUGAGCCGGAAUGAUUGAGUUAAAAGGUAGAAAGUUGGUAAGCUUCAUGAACAUAGUAUUAUCUAUUGUUUACCCAAUUUCAUAUUGUAGAGGCAUAGUAGUUGCAUCAGUUGCUUAUUACUAUUUAUUUCUUCUUACUACGUAUGCCUGAUUAGACCUAGUGGGAAAAUAGGCGGGGUCAGCGAUCGAACCCACUGGAAACUUCUUUUAGUUCUCACCUCCUUGUUUUGCAGAGCCUAGCACGAGCGGAGCGGUCGAGGAUCGUGACAAGGGCAUUGCGCCCUAAGUAGUGAACUUCCAUGUGUAUUAGAUCACCCUAUAUAUUAGAAAGGUACUUGUAUAUUAUGAGAGACACAUAGAGGCUUCACUUUGGGAGAUGAUAAUAUAUAUGUCAUUGUGAUAUGUAUGUGAGUAACAUGUAUGGAAAUGAUAUAUUUUUGGGUUGAUGUAUGUGAAGCUUAUAUGUUUUAGUUGCAAUAGCUAAGUAAUAUCUCUCGCUCUUGUAAAAUUGCCCUCGUGCAAUUCAUGUAUGUUGUUGUUUUUCCUGAGCACAACUCUAUGUACAUAAUGUUGUUUUAUGCCUUGAGCGGACAGGGGAGGCUCUAUCCGUUCGGCGGUCUAUGUGCGUGUCCGGACCAACCAAAAUGGCAGUUGCAAAGCGUGAAAAUAUAACUCUAUAUAUAUAUAUAUAUAUAUAGUCCGGCUACUAUACUCUUAUGAGUACGAUCACUCUCGUACUCAUAAGUUGUUUUCGAUUAUAGAACUUCUGAAUUGACGAUCCACGCCGUUAAACAUUAUCUAGAGCAUUUAAAACAUCUAGAAAUCAAAUUUUAUAAUUUUUCGACGUCAUUUACCUUACGAUCAAAAUGUCACAAAAUUGACAAUUUUUAACGGUCGGUAUAGGAUAUUUGCUAGUCUAACAGUGUAAAAGAAUCGAAAUCGGUUGAAUUUUUGAUAGAAAAUUCUAUUCACUACAUAGAUAAAGAUCAAUAACUCUGAUCUUAAAUUGAAGGAUCCGAUCAUCCAUUUUUAAGACAUCGUUCGAUUUUGACCGUUCAUUUUAUACUUGCUUGAUGAACUUUAUUAUAAUUUCGAAAACUUACGAAAUUUAUUUUCUAGGAGUUUCAAAUACUCUAGAUCAUAUUUAACGAAGUGGAUCGUCGAUUCGGAAGCACCAUCAUUGAAAACAACUUAUGAGUAUGAAGGGCUCUAUACUCAUAAGAGUAUAGUAGCCCUAGCCUAUAUAUAUAUAUAUAUAUAUAUAUAUAUAUAUAUAUAUAUAUAUAUAGAGAGAGAGAGAGAGAGAGAGAGAGAGAGCAUGCUAGGCUCCUAUGCUUUCGAAGUAAAGAGGCCUCCGUGCUUGUAAGUUGUUUUCGAUGAUGAUGGGACAUCCAUUCACGAUCGGUUCCGUUAGACAUGAUUGUCGCAUUGGAACUAUCUAGAAACCAAAUUUUUAUAAUUUUUGACUUCGUUUGGCCUAGUGAACCGAGUAGCCCCAAAAUGAACGGCUAAAAAUAAAAUCUCAUAAAAAUAGUGAUAAAAUGGACUUGAAAUUAAAUAGAAAAUUCUAGCUUAAAAACGGUGCCACAUCGGCUGUAAAUAGUCUAUUUUUGACCGCUUGUAUUGCUAUGGUAAAUGAUGUUAAAAAAUUAUAAAAUUUGGUUUCUACAUAGUUCCAAUAACGUAGAUUAUGCCUAACGGAGCCGAUCGUCAAAUCGGAUGUCCUAUCAUCGAAAACAACUUACAAGCACGGAAGCCUCCAUAGUUUCGAAAGUACAGGAGACAUACUCUCUCUCUCUCUCUCUCUCUCUCUCUCUAUAUAUAUAUAUAUAUAUGUGUGUGUGUGUGUGUGUGUGUGUGUGUGUGUGUGUGUAUGUACAUAUAUAUAUAUGUGUGUGUACAUAUGUACAUAUAUAUGUGUGUGUGUGUUUAUAUUUGUGUCUCUGUGUGUGUGUGUGUGUGUGUGUGUGUGUGUGUGUGUGUGUGUGUGUGUGUGUGUGUCUACACGCGCGCGCACACAUAUAUAUAGCUUUACUAGAAUAUUAUCGGCAGUAAACGGCUCAGGUUACUACUUACUAUCGAUUUGUUUUUAAUGAUAGAGCUUCCAAAUCGACGAUCGACAACAUUGAACAUUAUUAGCUAGACCAUUUAAAUAAUCUGGAAAUCAAAUUUCAUGUUUUUUCGAUAUUGUUCUCUUGUCCAUCAAGUGGACAUAAAACCCAUAGGCAAAAAUGAAUAUUCUUCAAAAACUGAUCAUACAAUUUUUCUAUUUAAGAUUUAGAGGCUAGAUCUUGUUUUAAAUAGUUUAUAAAAUUUUCGAACAAAAAAUCAGCUAAUUUGGACUCUUCUAUAAUGUUAAACGAGCAAACAUGCGGACCACUAAAAUUACAAAUUUUGUGACCAUUUCAUCAUUCGGUCACUAAUGUCGAAAAACCAUGAAAUUUAAUUUCUAGAUAGUUCGAAUGGUCUAGAUCACGUUCAAGGACGCCGAUCGUCGAUUUGGAGCUCUAUCAUCGAAAACAAAUCGGUAGUAAACCAAGCCACUUACUAUUGAUAGUAGCCUAGCAAUGCUCUCUCUUAUUCUCUCUUUGUAUAUAUAUAUAUAGAAAGAGAGAGAGAGAGAGAGAGAGAACUAGGCUAGAAUAUUAUUAAUAGCACCAAGUCAUUAGUGCUAUUAGGUUUUCGGCCCUAUAUGUGUAGUUAGGAUGAUAGUGGCCUAGGAUUGAGUGGGUGGUUGGUGGAAUAGUAUGAUAUAAGGGGUGGAAAUGGUCAAGGGGUAGAUCUAACGGCGGAAAACUUGGUAGCACCAAGUUCUUAGUGCUAUUGAUAGCAUUGUAGCCGGACUCUCUCUAUAUAAAUGAAGCAACAAAAAAAAAGUCACUGGUAUGCAACAUAAGCAUGUCUUUUCCUUCAUAACUUUUCUUUGCUUGGUCUAAAGAAAACUACCCAAAUAGCCUACUAUGUUAGCAAUCUACCAAGGCAAACCCUUAAGCAUGUAAACAAAAAUGCUUAGGCUGAAAUUAAAAAUAAAUGCAUGUCAUUCUUAUAUGCCACUACUACAUUCUACUAUAGAAAAAAAGGCUUUUCGGGGGCAAAUUGCUAUAGUGCCGCACCUAAUAGCGCUAUAAGGAUAUCAAAUAGAACUAAUACACCACAUUUUAAUACCAAAGCCCCUAAACUACAGACACUCAAUUUUGAUGUUGAUUUUCAUUUAAUUGGUACCCAACACAGACUUCACAGACUAAAACACAACUAAUCCAAAAGGAAAAGUGGUGCCUAAAGUUUGAUUUUCAUUGACAGAGAGUACCGGAAGUUCGACAGUCUUUAUGCUUGCUAAGGGACCAUUUAGCCCCAACCGCCUCCCAUAGAGCAUUUAGUGAAACAUGAAGAGCAUUUAGUGAAAAAUGAAGCUUCUGCUGCAGUGGGAAGUGUAAAUGAGAUUUUGAGUUUAAGAUUCUCAAAAUUAGAACUUCUGAUUCAACUGUAGAGGAAACUAUAACGAGCAAAUAACUAUGGUGCUUCUCCUAAUAGCACUACUCAUACAGCACACUAUACCAAAAAACACUAUACCCUACAGCAAACAGGUCCUAAACCAGAAACCCUUAAUUCGAAGUGUGACUUUCCAAUACAAACUUACCAUAGUGGUAUCCGACCCAAAUUUCACAGACUGAAGCAUAAAUAACCUACACGGAAGGGGGGGUUUGGGGGAAGUGUUCCAAAAUUACCUCAACCACGGCAGUUGAAAAGGCAUGAUUCACCCUUAUAUCUCCUGAAUCCAACCUCCCAAUAUCACAUUCAAACACCCUUCUAAGCUCAACCAGCAAAACCUCACACACCUCCACCACAAGACUUAGGUCGAAUUCAAGAAGCCGAAACGCGCUCAAACAGCACCGCAGAAGUAGCUUCGCAUCCUCCGCCAAAAAUCCCAGAUCCGCAGCUUUCGCGCCCACAUGAGGAGGGCGAAUCAAUUGCCCCGAUCGUCUCUUUAGCUCUUCGAAGAUAAAAUUUGAGACAUUUAAAACAUCCGCAAAAUGUGAUCCCGAUUCUGAACCAGAAAAGUUGGAGAGUAGGGUAUGCAGCUGCUUCAGGAAAUCGGCCAUCAGAAAUUGAGAGGAAGCAGGAAUCAACAAACCCUAAUAAAGCAAAAUUAGGUUAUAAUUUGAAUAUUUUUUUCCAAAUAACGCUAAAGAAUAUUAUAAUUGGCUAAGUAACCCUACUAAAAAAAUAUUUGACAAAAUAACCCUCCUUUUCCCAAGUCAGGAUAAAAAAAAAUUUAAAGCAGUGAAUCAUUCACCGUCUCGUUCACCGUCUUUAAGAGACAGUACCUGAUUUACCGUCUUCGACGGUGAACGAUUUACCGUUUUCAUAAUUUUCUAUUAUACCGGUCGGGAUUAUACAUAAGAAAGAGAAAAAAAAAAUGGUUAGAAUUGUAUGUGGAUGAUAUGAAAAAUAGAAAAAAAUAAGAUUGUUAGGAUUAUACGUGGAUUAUUAAAAUUUUUAUUUGAUUGUUAGGAUUGUAUGGAUAGAUUAUUAGGAUUUUCAGAUUGUUAAGAUUAUAUGUAAUUUGUUAAAAUUUUUAUGUAGUUGUUAGGAUUAUAUAUGGGAUAUAGAAAGAAAUAGUAAAUAAGCGAAAGACGUUGAAUGAUUCACCACUUUUGUAAAAAAUUAGGAAGAAUCGUUUACCGUCUUCAUGAAGGUGGUAAAUCGUCCACCAUCUUUAUGAGAAAAUUUCAACGUGGCUCUUACAUGACAAAAAAAGGAUUAGUUUGCGAAAAAAUUUCAUAGGAUUAUUUACCCAAUUAGAAAAUUUUAUAGGGUCAUUUUGAAAAAAAAAGGUCCUUAUAAAUUUUCUUUUGAAAAACAAAACUAGGAGAGAGCAGAGGACGAGGGAGAUCACCUGUGGAGAGAAAAGUGGCUUCCGGCUUAAAAAGAAAGAGAGCAGUUGGCGAUCAAUUUUUCCUUCAAAAUGGUCUAACCAAAACCUAUGUAACAACCUAACGACUCGCAACCUAUCGAUGAUGAAAUCGCUGUGAGACGAGGAUGGCAGGAAGGAUGAUGGAGUCCUCUAUUUAUCUCUACUAGGUGAGAAUUAAAGAGUUUAGGAAAGGUUAGGAAGAGGUAAAGAGUGGGAAUUUGGAAAAAGUUGGCUAAGAAGAGCAGGAUUAGAGGGAAGGAAAUUGGAAGGUAGAGAGGAAAUGGAGGGAAGAUGAUAGGGGAAGAAGAAGAAGAUCCAAAUAAAAGUGGAGAGAGAGAGAAUUUGGGAAGAAAGAAAGUAGUAUCUAUACUUACUAGUGUAGAGCUAUUAUACUGUCGAAAGUAUAAAAGAGUUGGUGAUUUCGAUUUUUUAACUAUUGGAUCAAGAAUUGUAGGGUCAAGAUAAUAGUAGUCCCCUUCGAUUUUUUAACUAUAGGUUUAGUGCAUAAAACAAGGAAUCUAAAAACUAUUGAUCACAAGCAGAAGACGCAAAAAACAAGGACGAUUAAUUGAACAUAUGCCUUUUACAAAUUAAGACAGAAACUAUAGGUUUAGUGCAUUAUUUGUUUUGCCUGGGAUCAAUUGGAUUAUCCAGCUCUACUCAUCUAGCUAAGGUUAGAAAUGAGUAUCUUAACAUGUGUAUUGGCAAUUUGAAUUAUUGCUGAGGUCCACAUUGUGGUUCUCGAAGCAUUAAUGCGAGACCUUACGAGGUUUUCUGAAACAUGGUUGAGAACUCAGAUUGCAUAUUCAAUGCUGCAAGGGAAAGCCCUAGAAAACACAUAUAUGCAGCAGGAAAUAAUAUACAAAAGUAGAAAAAUUUUCAUGGUUAGCGUUCACUUCUAAAAGCCCAGCUACACUAUGUAAACAUAUACCAAAUGGGCUUUAAAUAAAGCCACAGCUUAAGAGCACUGGAAUUUAGCAAUGUAAAAUUUUUACAGCUUUAUGUAUCAUGGGAACCUUGAGAAAGACUAAGAUAUUAUAAGCAGAGUAAAUUUUAUUUACAUAAUAGAGAAUAGAAAAACAUUGUAGACAAUUACAGGAUUAACGAUGCCAGUAACACAACACAAUCUCAGAUUCUAGCUUAGAAUAAAAGGAAGAGAUGAAAGAUGCAAGUCCCAAAUAUGAGACUCGACAAAAUUAUUGACAAACUACUAAGACCAACUAUUAACAUAACAUUCAAUUCUUAAGAGAAUGAUUCAAAUUGCCAAUACACAUGUAAAGAUACUCAUCACCACAUAAAGCGGUCCUUUCAACUGGAAAUUCAUCAUCAUAAUAUAGAGUAUCUUUGUAGGGUUUAUAGGGCACAGGUUUGCGGGUGUGUUCAAAAUAAUACAAUUAGUUUGUUUUGCUCAGAUUCUAAUGAUAUUUUUUUUUUUGCUGCGACAGACACAAUAGCUUUUUAAACUAGAUAUUUUGCUUCUGAUUUUUUACGGGCUCAUUUUAACUUUUCCUGGAGCACAAACUUUGGACAUUUAAUUUAAUUUUUUUCCAGAUGCUGCUUGGAGUAGAGAAACUAUAUAAAGAUCAGGCAAAACAAAGGCUAAAAAUUAUCCUCAAUAAAUUCCAUCCUUAACAUGUGGGUCGGAUGCUUUCAACCUCCACAUCAUUAAACAAGAGAGCAUUCUCUAGCUCUGCCCAUGGACAAGAUCUUAACUCUAUAUCCGAACAAUUUUUGCAAUAACCAAUCAUAGUUAAAUGCCUAAGCUUUUUGUCUCUGAAGUGGUAGACAAGUAAACAAGAUUAAGUUUUACUCUGUUUCAUGACUCUACCUUUUAGCCUCAGCCAAAAAUCAGUGAAAAAAGGAAAAUAAUAUCAAAGAUAAUGAUUUGUAUUCAAGCAAGUCAAAAUAACUGUGCAUUCAGAAGAACACAGGAAUGAUCACAAAAUUCUGAAGAGCACUUGGGACAAUGCAAUUGUGUCCUUGUGAUGAGGCUUUUUCUGACAGAAAUAUGCAAUAGGAUACAUAUAACCUUAUCCACCUUAACAUCUCUAUAAACAGCAUUAUUCGGACAGCAUUUUGUUAACCACUGCUUAUGAAGUAUGGGUAAAGAACUAUUCACACGCAGCAUCUCGUUGAAAAUGUCAAACUAUUUUCAUUUCCCGUCACGGCAGUUUCAAAUCCUUAAUUAUCGAUGACAAUUUUGUGUAUGCUAGCUUUACCGGAAGUAAGCCAGAGUAAAACACAAACUAAGAUGUUACAAAGGGGAAACACAUACAGAAACUCAUUUAAACAAUAAAUCCAUUCAAAAUCAAAACAAAUAAUGCACUAAACCUAUUUAAACAACAUUUUAUAGCAUCAAUACAAACUAGAAAGAUUUUGCUCAUGGCAUAACAAUAAAUCCUUCAAAAAAUCAAAAAAAAAAUUGGGAUCUGAAAUAGGAAAAGGAAACGGAGAAGAAAUUACCGCACGAACCUUGUUUUGGAGCAAGGAAACCUCAGAAAUGGCGAGCGAUGCCGCUGCGAUUGGCGGAGGUGAUCAUGGCAUGGAUGCCCUAGGUCGAGAGAAGAGGUCGGGGAGAAUCUCGCAUGGUGAAGGUGAUCAUGGCAUGGAUGCCCUAGGUCGAGAGAAGAGGUCGGGGAGAGUCUCGCAUGGUGGAGGUCAUCAUGGCAUGGAUGCGAGGUCGGGGAGAGUCUCGCUGUGAGAGGGGAUCGCGACGGGGUCGAGGAGAGUCUCGCUGUGAGAGGGGAUCGCGACGGGGUCGGGGAGAGUCUCGCUGUGAGAGAGGAUGUAACAACCCUGAAGAAUAAAUGGUAGAAAUAGUAGUAGUAGUAGUUAGCAUGGUAGAGUAGUAAAAAUGUCAACUUUACAAAGUAGAGCAGAGAAGUGACAGCAGGAGGUUGGUGAGGAGUGAGCUCCGCGGAGCGAUCCGGCGGGAAGGCGCUCGGGCGGAACUCCGGCGGGAAGGAGCCUUCGAAGGGGGCUCAGGCGAGCUCGACGGAGCUAGGGCAUCCUCAAAGCUCGGAGAGAGCGACGGGAGGUCCGACGAAAUCCAUGUAGUUGGGGCGAAGGAGAGAGCCGGCGGAUCGGGCGGUCGGAUUACCGGAUCGGGCGUAAAACGCGGACCCAAGCCCCGCCGGAUUGCGGAUGAUGCGGAGAAGGCAGGAACCGACGCCCACUUACCGCUACGCACGGGUCGGGCGAACCAGGAGCUCGGAUCGGGGCGAAAUGGCGAACCCAAAACCCGCAGGGUUGCGGGUAGUGCAGAGAAGGGCGGACCCGAGUCCGUUUGCCCGCCUCCCAGGCGGUUUGGACCAAACAAGCCCACCCGAGGCCCACAAGGCAACCGGAUUCAACCCAUCAGGCCUCAUUCCCCAUUUUUGACAAAUUGCUGUUAACCCCUAGUAACUUAGUUCGCUUACAUUUCAGUACAAGUUGCAUAUGCUACAUAUAGUUAACAGGAUGUAAUUGCAAGGCAUGAAUGAAAUGAAUUAGUUUAUUUUCUUCCCCAAAAGUUCUUCUCCAAACCCUUCUUCUUCUCUACUUUUUCUCUUCCCAAUUCUUCUCUACACCUUUAUCUCUCUCUUAUUUCCCUCAAUUCUCCCCAAUUCUCCCUGAAUCUCCCCAAUCCCUUUUCUCCCUUAUCUCAAUUCCCCUCUUGACCUGCCAGUGAAGGACCAUCAUCCCCGUUGCCAUUCUAAUCUCAGCGAAUUCUCAUCAUUGAUGGUUGCAACAAGUCCGGAUUAACCACUGGGAUAUUACAGGGGAUCGGUUCUCAAAUGUGGGAGAGAGGAGAUAAUAGGCUAGGUUAACAUUACCCCAAUAAUUAAUGUGAGAUACCUACCCUCUCCCAAGAGAAUAGGAUUAGCACUUUGGAAUUAAUCUCAUUACCAAGUGAAUUUAAGAUUACCAAAUAGAUUACCUAAUGUAUUUAGCCAAACACCGUCAUAUUUUCACAUUCCGAUUGGAUUACUAUGUAUCUUAAAAAGAUAACGCGAACCAAACGCGCCCUUAAUUCCAAGUGUAACUUUCCAACACAAACUUACCAUAGUGGUAUCCGACCCAAAUUUCACAGACUGAAGCAUAAAUAACCUACACGGAAGGGGGGGUUUGGGGGAAGUGUUCCAAAAUUACCUCAACCACGGCAGUUGAAAAGGCAUGAUUCACCCUUAUAUCUCCUGAAUCCAACCUCCCAAUAUCACAUUCAAACACCCUUCUAAGCUCAACCAGCAAAACCUCACACACCUCCACCACAAGACUUAGGUCGAAUUCAAGAAGCCGAAACACGCUCAAACAGCACCGCAAAAGCAGCUUCACAUCCUUCGCCAAAAAUCCCAGAUCCGCAGCUUUCGCGCCCACAUGA
rnacentral:lncRNA from 1 species